CUGCGCUCCUACAGUUGGGCCCUUCUUUCUCCUCCUCCCUCCCCCUCCCGCGCGCUGCUCCGGCUUGUGUUCCCGGGUUCCCUCCCCGGCGCGUCUUUCCCGGCCCGCCCGGUGCAUUGUGGGCUGACGUCUUGGUUUGGCUGUCUAGUGACGGAGGCUGCCGGGUCGGCUGGACCCUUGCGGAGUCUGUCGGAGGCGGGCUCAAGUUCAGAGAUGGGGACCGGGACCAAGACGCGGGGAUCCUGAAAGCUGGGGGGGCGCACUAGUGGCCGGGCGGAGGGCUUGGGUGGGAGUGGAGGUUGCACACAGGCGCGCGCGCGCGCGCGAACGCACACACACACACACACACACACACACACACACAUACAGUGAAAGGGCUGAAUGAUUUGGGCGACUGAAGCUGGCUCCGCACCCCCGCACUUCCGGGGGACAGAGCGAUGCGGGUUAAUAUGGUUGUGUGCGCCCCGGGUGCGGGAGCGCGUGAGUGGGCUGAAGUGGAGAGGACUUGAGAGUGGCCCUCCCACGAUGAGUACGCGUGGAAGUUUAGUUUCGGCGAAGGUUCUGCGCCGCAGUGCGCUGUACACGAAAACCAGAGAUUUGCGGUUCUCGGAACCGACUCAGCAGGGUCCCCGGCACAACACUUUAUUCUCUGGGGACAUGUCGGGAGGGGCUCGCUUUGCCUUGGGGGGGACCCUUCCUCUAGCUGUGAAAGAUGCUAGCCCAGCGUCCUUGGGGUGUCGAAAGCAACUUAUAAAGGGUUCGAAACUCAGGAAACCCCGGCGAUCGCCUGCGCUAGCACAGACACACGGCCCCGCGCACACUCAAUUCGCGCCCGCCCUUCCUCCCUCCCUGAUUUGCUUCUGGGAAAACAAGUCUUGAGAGCUGCGGACUCGCCCCAAGUCACGGAGCUUAAGCAGGAGUCCCUGGUAGAAACAGGCUGAAAACUCCCCUCCCCGCUCGCUCACUGGUGGAUUCUUUAUCCUAAGCAGCCUCUAGGAAGCGCUAGACACAAGGUGCCCUUCAUAAGAAGAAACGAUGGGUCAAAGUUGAGGCUUUUGUUCUGGCUUUCCCAGCUUGAAAAGAAAGAAGAUUAUAGACUGCUAUGUUCCUACUGAACGUGUAAGCUUCAUGAGAGUUUUCUACAGCGAACAUGCUUUACAGUUGCAAACAAACAAACAAACAAACCCAACAUGUUUUCCAUCUUAUUAGCUGUGAUCCUAUCAUUUGGCCUUUGAAGGGCUUUGAAAGAAGUCCUCAGGGAGAGCUGAGGUCCAGAGAUGAUUCACAGUGAAGGUAGCUUUAAACUUUGGGCUACCCUCUUUUAUCCCCUUCACCUCUACAUGGCAUUUGCCUUCCCUGUAGCUUUUUUUUUAAUUUAAAACAAACAAACAAACAAAAAAACAAAAAAAAAAACCAACUGUGGUUUUGCUAAUUCAGGAAGUACCUUGUUGUGUGCUUGUAUGUGUGGAGGUGCAACUUGGAGAAAUCAGGACACAGACUCUGUGAUAUUCCUCUACUUAACAACCUUCUCCACACAGAGGAUGGUUCUCGGUCCACUCUGCUGCAGAGACAUAUCUGUCCUAUGACUCUGUGUACCCAUUCUUACGGAUUUGGCAGUUAGAGAGGAAGCAAGCAAUAAUGUUGUAAAAUGUCAGGAAGGCUGCUGUUACCAGUAAUUCUUGCAACCCAUACCUUUCUUCAGCAUUCUGGCCCAUGGCUAAACCAUGGGGAUGCUUCCAGUGAACACCCAAAUGCUUGGAGGUCUGGACGCACUAGAUCAGCAUUUUCUAUCCUGUUGGAUCAAUGAUCAGCAGCCCCAGAGACUAGAUCAACCUGAGUUUAUUUUCUGUGCUUGCCCAUUUCUGACUUUAUUUAGGCCAAAAUUCUUACUCUCGAGACUUAGCCUGGGUGAGCCCUGCCUGAGAUACUGCCAGUGUGUGCCCCAGAAGAGAUGGAAGUUGUACCACUGAGUAACUCUAAAAGCUUUGUCUAGAGAUCACUGCCGUUCAUCAUCCAUGGGCUAAAGCUUGACCCUGACACAGAAGAACAUGGGAUCAAUACGUAGGUCAGGUGUUAUUUAUGAAUUUUAGAUUCUCUAUCUAGAGAAUGAAAAUAGGUAAAACAAACAAACAAACAAACUAAUUAUAUAGUUUGAAUAUUAUAAGUCAAGCCAUGGAAUAUCAUGUAACCACAUCAGAAGAUGAGUUGUCUUGAAAAUACAAGCUGACCUGGAGGAGUCUAUUGAUGGAUUUAAAUGAGCAAAGCAAGCUACAGCAUAACGGAGACCAUGUAAACGUAGUUUUAUUUUUCACAAAUUGAGAAAGCCAUAAACCGGGCAUGCUGGUACAUACUGUAAUUUCCAAACUCAGGAGGCUGAGACAGAAGGAUUGCUGCAAGUUUGAGGCCUGCCUGGCCUACGCAGUGAAUUUAAAGUGUUUCCAAACAAAUAACAACAGCAAAACUACACUAAACCAAGUCUAUGAGUCUACAAAGGUCCAUGAAUGUACUGGUAUGAGAUUACUAAUAAAAAUGCCUCAUGGGUUAUGGACAACA